UAUUUUAUCAUGAUUAUAAAAAAAUACAGAUAAUAUUAAUAAAUAGUUGAUAUACAGAAACAUAAAUAUUUAACAUGCUUGAUCAAGACAGAAUAUAAAUAAUUUAAAUAAAGAAAUAGGAAUAUGUUUGACGAAACGAUUAUACAAAGAAAACGGAAAAUAACAGAUAGAUUAUAAAUAUGACGAUUCGAAUUAUUCAACAAAAAUAAAAAGUAUCGAUUUCGUUUGAAAUUGUUUUUGAGCCAUAAUUGAAAUUAUAUUUAUACGACUAUAUCUUUGAUUUAAUAUAUUAUUUAAUUUUUAAUAUUCUCUUAUGAUUCGUUUUUCUUUUUUUUCUUUUUCCUUUUUCUUUUUUUUUAAUUUUCUAUCCGAUAUUUCAUAUCGAUUUAAUUAAUUUCCUUUUAUCUAAUUGAUAUUAUCACGCGUCAUACUUCUUUGAAAGUUUUUCUUUUUUUAAUAUCCUAGCUUUUAAUCCAUGAGGAUCUAAUUUUUUUCUUUGAACAUUUCUCUUACUUUCAAGUCUCUUCCAAAUCUCUUGUUCCAUUUUUUCUUUCCUUAGACGUUGCUGUUCCUUCUUCCAUAUAUCCUGCAAAUUUAAAAAAAUUGACAUCAAAGAAAGAAUUAGUCCGUGAAUUAGAAAACACAAAACAUUUUUUAUUCUACAUCAAUUUGAAGAUCAAUACCUGAAACCUUACCUUGAAAUCAUGACAGAAAUUUAACCACAGUGAAAAAAAUUGAUUAGGAUCAGCUGUGUCCAAAGUAGCACCUUUAGGUAUGAAUUGAUAAAAUUGCAUAACAGUUUUAAAUUUCUUUUUAGCCUCAACUAAUGCUUUAUUUUCAUUUUCUAAUUCCGUUGUAGCACUGGUGAAGAAAGCGUUCAUAUUUUCUUUAAAUAUUCGUGCGUUAGGUGGAUUUGAUUCGACCACAGCUUCGUAUUUUGUUUUGCAAGCUAAAAACAAGUUGAUCGUCUAGCCUUUGAAGUUCCUUCGUAAUAUCUUCAAAAUUUAUUGUCGAAGCUGCUUUAAUAUCAGCUGGCUCAGGUACAGGCAAAGACUCUCCUAUGCUGCAAGCAGCCAUCGGUGCUAAAAUCCUCGUCCAAUAGAGUGGCUUCAUUGGUACUACAGGAUUUAAAGUCCGUUUCUUUAUUACUUACUCGAUCUGCUGGGAGGAUUCCAGCCUCCGAUAGGAGGAGCAGGUAAAGGAGUUGGAGUAGAAGCGAGUGGUGGUGGAGGUGGCGGUGGUCCUGAUGCAUUUGAGC